rnacentral:lncRNA from 1 species
UUCAUGUUCUGCUACAUAGAUGAUGUUCGCUCAUUAAAUAUUUCAAAAGUUAGAUAACUAUUCCACCGAACACAAAAUAAAAGAUGCAACAGAUACAAUUAAGACUGCCUCAAUUCAUGACUUGCAUCUACAUACUGACAAUGAAAUUCGAUUGAGAACACAGCUUUACAACAAAGAAUGAUUUCGGCUCCCAUUUUGUGACAUUUCCAUUUCUAUAUACUAACAACACUACAGCAUAUGCUGUAUAUAUCUAUUAGUUAAUACGCC